rnacentral:lncRNA from 1 species
AAGGAAAGUUGACAUUCAGGAAUCUUCACCUUGCUGAGUGCAUCAUAAAUGCAGUGCGGAGCUGCCAUAAAUGUGAAGACUUCAGGGUAGAAACCAUAGUCACGGAUUAACUUCGCCAUGCACCUGCCUGACAUCAGUCAUCUCAAAAGGAACAUUCUGCACCACAGGAGAGAGUGAUGUGAACUGCCUAAAGUGGGCCUUGAAUGCACUGAGCUUUUUAUUAUGUUUAUCAGAAAUUUUUAUUAAGCAAAGUAUCCUGCAUUGUUCAGUAAGUAUACUUUAUUUCGAAAACCUUAUGCUAU